rnacentral:rRNA from 1 species
GCAUCCUAACACAUGCAAGUCGACGCGUACACCUUCGGGUCUAGUGGCGCACGGGUGCGAACGCGUGGGUAUCUGCCCUCAGGUACGGGAAUAACUCAUGGGAGAGCUUGAGCUAAUGCCGUAUAUAUAACUUCGGUCCAAAGAUUUAUCGCCUGAGGAUGAGGCCCGCGUCGGAUUAUCUAUUUGGUGGAGGUAGAAGGCUCGCCCGGCAGACGAUCCGUAUGUCUGUCUGAGAGGAUGAUCAUGCCACACUGGGACUGAGACACGGCCCAGACUCCUACGGGAGGCAGCAGUGGGGAAUAUUGGACUAAUGGGCGGAAGAGCCUGAUCCAGCAAUGCCGCGUGAGUGAUAAAGGCCUUAGGUUGUUUUCUCUUUUACCCGGGAUAUAAUG